rnacentral:rRNA from 1 species
CGGAAGACCAAGGGUUCCUGUCCAACGUUAAUCGGGGCAGGGUGAGUCGACCCCUAAGGCGAGGCCGAAAGGCGUAGUCGAUGGGAAACAGGUUAAUAUUCCUGUACUUGGUGUUACUGCGAAGGGGGGACGGAGAAGGCUAUGUUGGCCGGGCGACGGUUGUCCCGGUUUAAGCGUGUAGGCUGGUUUUCCAGGCAAAUCCGGAAAAUCAAGGCCGAGGCGUGAUGACGAGGCACUACGGUGCUGAAGCAACAAAUGCCCUGCUUCCAGGAAAAGCCUCUAAGCAUCAGGUAACAUCAAAUCGUACCCCAAACCGACACAGGUGGUCAGGUAGAGAAUACCAAGGCGCUUGAGAGAACUCGGGUGAAGGAACUAGGCAAAAUGGUGCCGUAACUUCGGGAGAAGGCACGCUGAUACGUAGGUGAAGCGACUUGCUCGUGGAGCUGAAAUCAGUCGAAGAUACCAGCUGGCUGCAACUGUUUAUUAAAAACACAGCACUGUGCAAACACGAAAGUGGACGUAUACGGUGUGACGCCUGCCCGGUGCCGGAAGGUUAAUUGAUGGGGUUAGCGCAAGCGAAGCUCUUGAUCGAAGCCCCGGUAAACGGCGGCCGUAACUAUAACGGUCCUAAGGUAGCGAAAUUCCUUGUCGGGUAAGUUCCGACCUGCACGAAUGGCGUAAUGAUGGCCAGGCUGUCUCCACCCGAGACUCAGUGAAAUUGAACUCGCUGUGAAGAUGCAGUGUACCCGCGGCAAGACGGAAAGACCCCGUGAACCUUUACUAUAGCUUGACACUGAACAUUGAGCCUUGAUGUGUAGGAUAGGUGGGAGGCUUUGAAGUGUGGACGCCAGUCUGCAUGGAGCCGACCUUGAAAUACCACCCUUUAAUGUUUGAUGUUCUAACGUGGACCCGUGAUCCGGGUUGCGGACAGUGUCUGGUGGGUAGUUUGACUGGGGCGGUCUCCUCCUAAAGAGUAACGGAGGAGCACGAAGGUUGGCUAAUCCUGGUCGGACAUCAGGAGGUUAGUGCAAUGGCAUAAGCCAGCUUGACUGCGAGCGUGACGGCGCGAGCAGGUGCGAAAGCAGGUCAUAGUGAUCCGGUGGUUCUGAAUGGAAGGGCCAUCGCUCAACGGAUAAAAGGUACUCCGGGGAUAACAGGCUGAUACCGCCCAAGAGUUCAUAUCGACGGCGGUGUUUGGCACCUCGAUGUCGGCUCAUCACAUCCUGGGGCUGAAGUAGGUCCCAAGGGUAUGGCUGUUCGCCAUUUAAAGUGGUACGCGAGCUGGGUUUAGAACGUCGUGAGACAGUUCGGUCCCUAUCUGCCGUGGGCGCUGGAGAACUGAGGGGGGCUGCUCCUAGUACGAGAGGACCGGAGUGGACGCAUCACUGGUGUUCGGGUUGUCAUGCCAAUGGCACUGCCCGGUAGCUAAAUGCGGAAGAGAUAAGUGCUGAAAGCAUCUAAGCACGAAACUUGCCCCGAGAUGAGUUCUCCCUGACCCUUUAAGGGUCCUGAAGGAACGUUGAAGACGACGACGUUGAUAGGCCGGGUGUGUAAGCGCAGCGAUGCGUUGAGCUAACCGGUACUAAUGAACCGUGAGGCUUAACCUUACAACGCCGAAG